AUGGAGCACUUCCGCAAGACAGUGGUUCCUCACUUUCUCACUAAACUCUGGGUGUUAGUAGACGACGCUCUCUUGGACCAUGUGAUUCGCUGGAGCAAGGAUGGUCACAGCUUUCAGAUUGUGAAUGAAGAGACCUUUGCCAAAGAAGUACUACCAAAAUACUUCAAACAUAACAAAAUAGCAAGCUUUGUUCGACAGCUCAACAUGUAUGGUUUCCGAAAAGUUAUUGCACUGCAGAGUGAAAAGACUAGCCUGGAGAAUAAAAUAACUAUUGAAUUUCAGCAUCCACUUUUCAAAAAGGGAGAAGCCUUCCUUCUUGCAAACAUUAAGCGAAAGGUGCCAACGAUAAAAACUGAAGAUGCCAACCUCUGCUCUGAUGAGUAUCAGAAAAUUAUGGCUGAAAUACAAGAGUUCAAAGACAUGCAGAAGAACAUGGAUACCAGAUAUGCACAAAUGAAACAAGACUAUUCCAAUCUAUGUCUUGAAGUUACAAACCUAAGAAAGAAGUACUGUGAGCAACAACAACUGUUGACACAGGUACUCCAUUUUAUCUUGAAUUUGAUGAGUGAAAACCAUACAGUACUAAAAAAGAGGAAAAGGUCAUUAUCAUUCAUAUCUGAAGCCUCAGAUUCUGAAUUGGAUCAUCAGUAUCUCCAUAUUCCAGACGACAAGAAAAAGGAAGCUAUGGAGAUAUUAAAAGAUGGUUAUGAACUUAUUGAAGACAAAUAUAAAAGUCUCCUUGAUAGAGUCUUACCAAUUUUAAAAGAACCCAAAAGUUUAAUUUCAUCUGCAGACCAGCCAAGUGGGGAUGAUGGAGAACACGCUGAAGUGUCCGUUCAGGAUAAACCUACAGAUGAAGAGUCGCUGACCAUUCAGUUGGAUUUGACCAUACCAGUUUUACCAGAACAAAUAACUCAAGAAUCCGUUGAACAAGAACCUAAGGAUAUUUCUUUGGAAUUAGAUCUUUCUUCCCAGGAUUCACCUUUGAUGAAAGAUGACUCAGACAAUCUGUAUAACAAUAUAAUUAACAGGGAUAAAAUGAAUGUGAAUCAUACUGAAGGAAAUUUGUUAGAGCUAAAUUCGAUACUAUCUUGGAAGGGAGUGGAUUAUGAUUCUGAUCAUUUCAGUGAGAGUCUAAAUCUGAUGCAAAAUGAAGAAGAGAAAAGUCCGCUUGAUCCCAAUGGGGGAAAAGACAAACAUAUGGUACAAUGCAUGGAAAAACCAGAGCUUUUCCUUUUGGAUGGGACACCAAUAUGUGACUUUGGAGAAAAUCUUCAAGAUUAUGACAUACUUUUGGAUGAUCUGAAGGACCCCCCAAAUGUCAUAUCAGCUUUGUGCGACCAUGAUUAUGUAACCUCCAAUAUUUCCACUCUGCAAGAAGAUAAUAUUGAAAAUGAUGCUCCCCCAUUUUGUAUGGAAGCCAAUGGGGAAUCCAGUGUGUUCCCUUUUCUCUUUCUUAACCCUGUUAGUAAUAUUUUUUGA
rnacentral:lncRNA from 14 species